rnacentral:rRNA from 1 species
CUCGAGGCCAGAUCUUUCCGGUUGAUCCUGCCGGACCUGACUGCUAUCGGAUUGAUACUAAGCCAUGCGAGUCUUUGUAGCAAUACAAGGCAGACGGCUCAGUAACACGUAGUCAAUCUACCCUAUGGACGGGGAUAACCUCGGGAAACUGAGAAUAAUACCCGAUAGAUCAUUAUGCCUGGAAUGGUUUAUGGUCGAAAUGAUUUAUCGCCGUAGGAUGGGACUGCGGUCUAUCAGCUUGUUGGUGAGGUAAUGGCCCACCAAGGCUGUAACGGAUGCGGGCUCUGAGAGGAGAAGCCCGGAGAUGGGUACUGAGACACGGACCCAGGUCCUAUGGGGCGCAGCAGGCGAGAAAACUUUGCAAUGUGCGAAAGCACGACAAGGUUAAUCCGAGUGUUUUCUGCUAAAGAAAUCUUUUGUCAGUCCUAAAAACACUGAUGAAUAAGGGGUGGGCAAGUUCUGGUGUCAGCCGCCGCGGUAAAACCAGCACCUCAAGUGGUCAGGAGGAUUAUUGGGCCUAAAGCAUCCGUAGCCGGCCGUGUAAGUUUUCGGUUAAA